rnacentral:rRNA from 1 species
UACGUAGGGGGCAAGCGUUGUCCGGAUUCAUUGGGCGUAAAGAGCGUGUAGGCGGCCAGGUAGGUCGGUUGUGAAAACCCGCAGCUCAACUGUGGGCUUGCAGCCGAUACGGGCGGGCUGGGAUUCGGUAGGGGAGACUGGAAUUCCUGGUGUAGCGGUGAAAUGCGCAGAUAUCAGGAGGAACACCAAUGGCGAAGGCAGCUCGCUGGGACGGUACUGACGCUGAGGCGCGAAAGCGUGGGGAGCAAACAGG